rnacentral:rRNA from 1 species
UAAGACGAACUGUGCAAACGUUAUUCGGAAUCACUGGGCUUGAAGAGUGCGUAGGCGGUUUCGUAAGUAGGGUGUGAAAGCCCUCGGCUCAACCGGGGAAUUGCGUCCUAAACUGCGAGGCUGGAGUGAGGUAGGGGUGUGUGGAACUUCCAGUGGAGCGGUGAAAUGUGUUGAUAUUGGAAGGAACGCCGGUGGCGAAAGCGACACACUGGACCUUGUCUGACGCUGAGGCACGAAAGCCAGGGGAGCAAACGGGAUUAGAUACCCCGGUAGUCCUGGCCGUAAACGAUGAGUACUAGUGGGGAGGAUCGCAAGGUCUUCCUCACGGAGCGAAAGUUUUAAGUACUCCGCCUGGGGAGUAUGGUCGCAAGGCUG